UACGUAGGGUGCAAGCGUUGUCCGGAAUUAUUGGGCGUAAAGGGCUCGUAGGCGGUCUGUUGCGUCAGGAGUGAAAACUCGGGGCUUAACCCCGAGCCUGCUUCUGAUACGGGCAGACUAGAGGUAUGCAGGGGAGAACGGAAUUCCUGGUGUAGCGGUGAAAUGCGCAGAUAUCAGGAGGAACACCGGUGGCGAAGGCGGGUCUCUGGGCAGUAACUGACGCUGAGGAGCGAAAGCGUGGGGAGCGAACAGG
rnacentral:rRNA from 1 species